UGAAAAUGUUGUGGAGCUCAAGAUAAGGAAAGGAAGACAAGAAACGUGAUUCAAAGCAAUUGAGAAAGGCGAGAAAGCAUCGGCUCGAGGACAAAGAAGAAGAUCUACAUGGAGAUUAUGAUUAUCAAGUCUCAGUCAGAGACCAAACAAAGCACUGCAAGAAUGGAUCAACAGAAAGCUACAGAAAAGGUAGACUAAACAGGUCAGGUCUUCACAAAGAUGAAGAUUGAGAAAAGAAGAGCAAGACUGACUCAUACAAAAAUGAGAAGAGCAAGACUAACUAUUUUACAAGGCUAAGACAAAAGUAAAACCAAGGUGUCUACAAGGAUAAAGCAGAGCAAAGAAGAGCAAGACCAAAGUCAAGCCAAUGCUAAGAAGAUCAAGAUCCUGAAUGCCUUGAGAAUAUGGUGAUGAAAAGCUUAAGACAAGUUUUAAAACAAAUAAGGCAAUUAUUCAUUUUUUAUACCUACUUUCUCUUUGGUCUUAUUUCCACUCACAUUUUUAUCAUCAUGUUACCGAUGAUUAUCAUAAUUGCUGCUAAAUUCACUCUACCACCACCCCGGUUCGAUUUGGAGCAUGGAGCUUCAGAACACUGUGAAGAUUGAGCUUAGGUUUGUGCGUUCGAAUCGUUUCAGUUAGAUCAUGUAGCUUCGCAAUCUCCAGAAUUUCCAAAAAAACCUAGAUGCGUGGCAGGUGGCUGGUAAUUUAUUUCAUGAUCCUAGUAGCAAUCUAGAAACCUUGAUAUUGUGCUCUCAAACCUUACGAAACAAGUUUCAACGAGGCUCCGAGGAACACUCUUCCACAACAUUCUGGCCAUUGCGUGACGAAUUAAAUGCGAGUGGACUCUUGAAUCUCUUGGUGCAUUUGGAACCUAGGAGAAGUGCACUUGAAGAAGAUUUCGAGGAGGAAGAAGAGAAAGAGGAUAAUGACCAGCCUAUUGAUGAGUUUGACGAUGGGGAAUAUGAUCAGAAGGAUUAUUAUUGUGGGUGAAGCCCUACAAGGGAAAGAAGGCUUGAUACAGUGAUAGUCAUAGAUACAGGCAUAUGAUCUGAAAGAAAAAUCCACAAGGAAUAAGGCUACUAGGAGGAUGACACUUCAUUGGACUUAAAAACUCUAGAUGUAAUUAUUAUUAUGAUCUUUCACAGAGAAGAACAAAAACUAGCUUUCAAAAAUGGGGAGGUGAGAUUUCUCUACUGGGAUAUUUUCGGCUCCUCUAGGUUCUGGUGGCCUUCCUAUUCCUUAUAUUGAUCAUUUUGGUAACAACGCUGAGAAGUAGGAUGUUGUAUUCAGGGAUCUAUCAUUUGUGACAGCUGUGAAACUGAUUUCUGGCGGUCCAAACUCCAAAGCCACCAACAAAUGGGUUUAAAUAGCCAUUGCAUACAAUAACUUUUAGCGGCACUAGUAAACACUGGAAAUUAUCACCGCUAACGGAUGUCGAGUUUUACCGGCCAUUCAUAACGUCUUUACCGGUGGCCGAUAUAAUCAUCGGCAUAGCCUUUACCGACCCCGAUACACUGGUGGAAAAGUCGUUGCGGCCCUUUUUAUUACCACUAAAGACAAUAUUUAUUGCCGAUAAAAGUAAUUUUUGUUGUAGUGUGUGAAUGAACUAUUAUUCCGAUAGUACAUCAAGCAACUUAAAAAAUUCCACUCAUAAAAAAUAAUCUCUUUGUAUGAAACAUUGAAUCACCUAGUGUUGUGGCUUCUACAUAUUUUGAAGUCCAAAUAUACUUUAGCAGUUUAGCCCUAAGUUGAAUUUUUUUUUUUUUGAAAUGCAUAAGUUGAAAGUUGAAUCUCUCACUUUAUAGUUUAAGCAAGUUUUUUGUAUCGAACUUAU